rnacentral:rRNA from 1 species
AGUGAACGCUGGCGGUAGGCCUAACACAUGCAAGUCGAACGGCAGCACAGUAAGAGCUUGCUCUUACGGGUGGCGAGUGGCGGACGGGUGAGGAAUACAUCGGAAUCUACUUUUUCGGGGGGGAUAACGUAGGGAAACUUAGGCUAAUACCGCAUACGACCUACGGGUGAAAGCAGGGGAUCUUCGGACCUUGCGCGAUUGAAUGAGCCGAUGUCGGAUUAGCUAGUUGGCGGGGUAAAGGCCCACAAGGCGACGAGCCGUAGCUGGUCGGAGAGGAUGAUCAGCCACCCUGGAACUGAGCCACGGUCCAUACUCCUACGGGAGGCCGCAGUCGCGAAUAGUGGGCAGUGGUCGCAAGCCUGAUCCAGCCGUACCGCGUGUGUGACGAAGGCCUUCCGGUUGUAAAGCCCUUUUUUUGGGUGUGAACCGCAGCCGCUUAAUACCACGCUGUUCUGACGGUACCCAAAGAAUAAGCACCGGCUAACUUCGUG